UAAAAGAAAGUGAUGUUCCUUGUUCAUAUGAGUUGCUGAAAACCAUAGAAGACUGAUAAUUAACAUAAUGUUUGUUAGAGUGUCUUACCUGUGUCUGGUCGGCUUGGUUUUGUUUGUGACUUUGGAGACAGUUUAUUCGGAAGAAGAUAAAAAGAAUCCUGACACCGGUGCACUUUUUAAAAGAAAGUUGAAGAGAGAGGUGUGUAAAUAGUAAGGGCGUUCGAAAAGCUUGUUUCAGAAAAUGUUUAAUGUUUUCUAAAUACAUGAGUCACAAAGAACAAUGAUAUUCUGCAAGUUUACUGUUUAAAUACAUUUGGCAACAAUGUAUUUAUUAAAGUCACAUUGUAGAAAAUAACUAGAUUAUUGUUGUGUUAUUGAUAAUAUAUUUCACAGCUGUUUUAAAAUGCA